AUUAUAUAAUUAAUUAAUGUCAUCUUUUUUUCUCUCUCUUGGCCACUAUAUUGUUAGAGUGACUCAAUUCUUUAUAACUCCACAAUAGUCUUUCUUAGCUUCAACUUCAUAGCGCAGAAAUCAAUAAAAGCAUAUCGGAAUUAGGGUUUCUUCUGGCACUUCUCCUAGUUACUCAACUUCAAGAUCGUUUUCUCUCUGUUACCCAAACUUUAAUAAGGAAAGCCUUUUCAGAUUUCAGAUAUCUUUUCUUCAGUUUCAGUUUCAAUUUUUAUUUUCCAGUGAUAUUUAAUUUGUCUGCUUCUUCUUCCUCGUCUUCUUAAUUCAUUCUUAGCCCUAUGUUCCUGGAAAUUAGGGUUUCGGAUCCUUUUCUUAGUGAUCUGUGCUACCUAUAAUUUUUCUAGAUGUUAGAUUUUUAUUUUGUAGUGUAGCCUAAUAGGUUUAAUUGAUGCCAAUUUUUAUGCAAAUUAAAUUUAAUUUUGGUUGCAUAUAUAUUACUUAGUAAGAUUAAUUAAUCAAUUUAUUUAUUUAUACUCUUGCAUGGAAAAAUAAAUCAUCAUCAUCUGGUUUUUGCAGCUAUAUAUGGUAGCUAGUUUCUCAUUCCGAAAACUCACCUUCUUUUCCCGUUUUCUUGUUUAAAGUUCUUUUUUUGCUGAAACUUAUUAUAUAACCUUGUCGAAUUUUGUGCCAACAAAUUAAAUCCCUUUCUACUUAUAUAUUUAAUUUAAUUUAGUUUGUGUUUGUUUAAUUUUCAUGUUAACUAAUCAUAAGUAUAGCUAUAGUUAGUUGGCUUUGCACUAACAUCGGAUUUGGUUUUUCAGAUCAAAAUGAUGAACAUUUUCCAACUUUUGAAACUCUUUUCUUAGCAGCUGGUUUGCAACCAUUGAUUUAAUUGACAAAGUCUGAAUACAUGAUUUUUCAAUAAAUAAAUAAGUAAAAGAUAUGAUAAAUAUACUAUAAUUAUGUAGAUAUUACCCUCAUCAUCGUGUUUGCUUAAACGUUUCUCUUCUUUUCUUUUCUGUUCCUUUAUUUUUGGGAAAGCUUUUAAUUUGGUUUAUUAAUUGUGGUUACUGUAUGUAUACAAUCCUUUCUUAAUGAUACAUGACUUCCCAAUAAAAUAAAGUUUUUUAAUUAAUUGAUUUCUUAUUUGUUUGCUUGCUCUAGAAUUACACAUUCUGCAUCUACUUAUCACUACAUUAAAAAAAAUUCAACAUGAAUUAUAAUUAAGUCUAGUGGAAGAGAUUGUUAUUUUUACUAUAAGUGUCAAACCACAAUUUAGAUCCCAACCAAAUUAAGUAGUGUUCAAAUUUAGGGUAUAUGAUUUGUGUUCAUUUUCUUAGUAUUCAAUCGUGUCAAUCAAGAAGAUCAAAGUCAUCUACAAGGAAGGAGAUGUGCUCACAUUAGGAGGGAACAAGAGUGAAGGAGCUUCCUCCAGUCCAAUUACAAAUUAGAAAAAGACGAAUAUUGUUUUGUUAAAUUAAUAAUAAAAAAAAACUAUACCUCUUUUUCUAUGUUGUUGGACUGAAGGGAGCUCCUUCUUUCUGUUGCCUUCAUUUGUUAAAAAAAAAUAAAAAAGGAAAAAAAAAGAAAAGAAAAAAAAAACAGCUAUGCAUGUUUAUAUAUGAUUUGAACAGAAAAAAAGGUGCAGCAGCCUCCAGUACACAACUACUGUAGCUGAUUGUUACACAUCAUCUUCUUCAAUAGUAACCCUUUUGUAAGUAUUAAUAUAUCUGUACCAAAUUUUACUGCACAAGAUUCAGCAAUCAUCUGAACAAUGUUGCAUUUGUGAGUUUUAAUGGCUAUAUGUGACCCACUUGGUAGUACUUUUCUUUUUUCACUUUGGCAGGGAGAAAAAACAACUCAUGAACUAACUCCAAUAUAUAUAGCUUGAUCACACGAGAGAUAUAUAGUAGUUUGGAUUUUGUGAAAUCUUUGAAUAAUUGCUUGCAUGGUUUUGAGUCACAAAAAUUGUGAGACCAAAAAAUAAAAAUGUGUAUAUAUUAAUUAUAAUUUCAAACUAUGAUUGCCGGUACUAUAUAAAAUGGAGAUAUCUUUGAACAACUUUAUGUGAUUACUGGCUAUUGCUUUCUUUAUUCAUAAACAUAUUUUCAGGAAGCAGAUCAGCAUAGUAGCAGUGUGUUACUUCCCUUUCAGAUUUAGUACAAGUUUGACCAUUAUUACUUCAUUAUAUCUUUCCAUACAUUUUCAGGUUGGAAAUUAAAGCAAUCAGAUUGUGAACUUUUUUAUUACAACCAAGGAUAAUUAUUAGAUCAAAACUUUAUAUGGUAUUAUUUUCCAUGCCAAAUAAUUCAGUGCCCCCUUAGCUAGAGGGUUUUGGUUAAAGAUGGUGAGCUCAAAAGCAGCGACAACAUAUCUCAUUCCUAUGCACCGAGUACUCCACUCCUUUUUCUUUCCGCGAGGUAUUGUACAGAACAUGUUUGCUUCAUAAGCAAUUUGGUUGGUCUAAUUUAUGACUUGAAAUUGUAAAUGAGGGUGUCCACAGGAUUGGGUAACUCAAUUACCCAUCAAAACCGAUCCGACCCGAUUCGAUUAUAUUGGUUAUAAACUUUAUGGAUAAUUAGGUA